GACAGAGGUGCCGAGCGUUAGGCGGAAUCACUGGGCUUAAAGCGUGUGUAGGCGGAUCGUUAAGUGCCUUGUGAAAUCCCACGCUCAACCGUGGAACUGCUGGGCAUACGUGCCGAUCUUGAGCCCACUUAGGGGCAACCCGGAAUCAAAGCGGUGGGAGCGGAUGGAAAUGCGGUAGAAUAUCGUUUGGAACGCCAAUGGUUGAAAACAGGUUGCUAGGGAGUGUGGCUGACGCUGAGACACGAAGACCAGGGGAGCGAACGGG
rnacentral:rRNA from 1 species